GGAGUCAUAGUUCCACUAACCAGGAGGUCUAGAAGGAGUCAUAGUACCACUAAUCAGGAGGUCUAGAAGGAGUCAUAGUACCACUAAUCAGGAGGUCAAGAAGGAGUCAUAGUUCCACUAAUCAGGAGGUCUAGAAGGAGUCAUAGUUCC